CAGAGACGAGACAAUAGCACCAAGUGCAGGUUUGAUCGGAUCAAACAUGAGCAAACAGAGGCAGUCAACGGAUGAUCUCACAUACUGCAGAUUGCAAGAACGGGACUGCUAAGCAAGCUAAGAUUUCAUUUUUUUCUGGAUCAAUCUCAAAUUAGGAUUUCUCGGGGAGCGGAGGGUCGGCCAGGACCUGAUUGGGCUCCAGGGCGCGAUCUUUGAGCGCAGAUUUGGUGCCCGCGAUCUGCCUUGGAUUUGAUUUAAGAUUUGGGGAGAUCGGUUGUGUUCGCCCUGCGAGAUCCUAUUAUUUUCAUUCAGUGACUGAACCUGUCGAGACUGAAGCAAGGAGGGACAGAGCAAAAAACUCUCUUGAGAACUGGGCAUCCAAUCAGAAAGAUCAAGAAUCCUUUGCAAAAGCCUCCGAACCGGCGGCGGUGGCAGAAGCCGGUCUCGGGCCACGAUGGCGUCGAGCGCUGGCGGCGCGUCGUCGUCGCUGGUGAAGAACGAGCCCUACAUGCGUGCUGUCAAGAUCUACCUCAAGAGCCUAGACAUCCAAAUGGAGAAACAGCUAGCCAAGACAUGGAGAAGCACAACGGGUCGUAAGGGAGGACUGGGAGAUCGACCUCGCCAAGCUUCUAUCAACCAAAAGAAAAUCAUGCUCCUCAACAGAUAGCAGAACAUCCUAUUUGAAAUGAGUUUGUGAAUAAGUGGCGCACGACGAUAGCGGGCGAUUCAUAUCGCGGGUGGUUCCAGACGUGGGCACCGGGCGUGAGAUUUUUAAUGCCUACUGCUCGCUCCACAUGAUCAUUUAUCACUGGCUCCAGCAUGUCAUGCUGCUCAUGCUGCUGCAAGGGUGGCAAAUAAGAAGCUUGUCCACAUGUUCAUAGGUGAAGGACAGAUUAAUCUGAAUGGAGCUCGAUGGGUGCAGGUAGUACCAAUUGCACAUCUGGUGUCUCAAGAAGUUCACUAAGGAUUAUGGUAUGACCUUUUUCUUCCUGGCAAAAGCAUGUCAACUUUGUCGAUUCCCUCAUUUUUGUUAUCGAUUGAUUUGGAAAUUAUGCUGGUGAUGAAGGGAUUGUCUAUGUUUGGAAAGAAUGGUUCCAGAACAAAAUACCAUUAUAAUGAAAUAAUUAGUUAUUUAGACCUAUUUAUACCUGGUAAACUUAUGGGCUUCUUUACAACAAAAAAGGUUCUUAUGUUACAGUAGACACUAGCACAUACAACAGACUUCUUGUGAUGCUCCAAAGUUGAUGAAAGGAACCUGGGGCAAUAGCAUAAAAUGACUUGCAUAACCUUGGUUACCAAAAUAAGCUGAAUAACUAUGAGCACUCCCAUCUGUUUCGAAAGAAUUAAGAGCCACCUUCAUCCAUACAUGGAUUACCUAUUUCUCCAUGUCAGUUUGCAAAUAAUUCCAUUAAGGAGUGUCGGGGUUGCCGCUUUGUUGAAGCUCAAGUGUAAGCAGAGGUAUGUGAAGUGGCUACAGAGCCACAACUAGAGCUAACCCAUAUGCUGGUCACUGUUCCUUUUUUCUAUACAUGUUCACUGAUCAUGAGAUGUAACACGAUUGUCCUUGUGCAGACGAAGCGUCGUGUGAAAAACUGAGAUGGAUAGGGAGUGGCCUCUCAUGUGUGUGCAUCAAGAGAAAAGGCACAUAUGAAAGAAUAUGCAAGAACUUCAGACCCGUACAGGAACAAGCAUUGCUGCAUUGGAAACAAUCUGGAAUGCAUUGGGCUUUAACGUGUCUGGGCGUAAGUGAAAGCUAAAUGUAUUCAUUCAACUUGUAGUAAAUUGUCUUGGUCAUCUUAUCACUGCAGCUGAGCUGUUCAGUGCGCUUAGAGGUCGUCUUUACGACAGCAACAAAAAUUUAGUAAUGGCAACAUUGUCCACCAUUGGUGGUCUUGUAUCUGCUAUGGGACCUUCUGUUGAAAAGUCAAGCAAGGGUAUUUUGGCAGAUGUGCUGAAGUGUCUUGGUGACAAUAAGAAGCACAUGCGAGAAUGCACAUUGACUGCUCUAGAUUCGUUGGUUGCUGCAGCCCAACUUGAAAAGAUGGUUCCAUAUAUUAUAGUGUCUUUGGGUGAUCAGAAAACAGUUCAGAAGGGCGAAAAGAUCUCUUUGAUUGGUUGUCUAAGCAUGUUUCAAAAAUAGGUGAUUCAUCUGAGGCUUUGCCAUUGUUGAAGCCAUCUGCAUCUUCUUUGAUGGAUAAAUCUUCUAAAGUUCGCAAAGCUGCUGAAUCCUUAAUGAAUGAAAUUCUCAGGAUCUGUGGCCAAGAAAUGGUGGGACGGAACUUGAAAGAUUUGCCAUCACCUACUUUGGCCAUUGUAUCAGAAAGGCUGAAACUGUCUACUUUGAAAGAUUUGCCAUCACCUACUUUGGCCAUUGUAUCAGAAAGGCUGAAACUGUCUACUGCACAUGAAGGUGGUGUUGUACAUAUUGUGUAUUGUAAUGUACUCUAUUCCAAAUUAUAUGAAAUUUCGGGUUUUCUA